CUUUCCCGCGCGACCGGCGAGGGAGGAAGAAGCGCGAAGAGCCGUUAGUCAUGCCGGUGUGGUGGCGGCGGCGGAGACUGCGGGCCCGUAGCUGGGCUCUGCGAGGUGAGAGUGAUCGCGGUCUUAGGUCCAACUCCUCUACGUGCCGGGUUCCUCCGCCAUAUGGGUGCCCAGCGCGGCCCCUGUCCCUUCCCCGGGCGCAGCGGAGCGGGCGGCUGCUGCGUAGGCCAAAAGGCUACGCUCCCGGUGCCCCCAAGGCCCACGAGCUUUCCCCACAAGCCAUUUGCGCAGUCGCGUUUUGUGAGUAACCACCUGGAAGGCUUAGCUGACCUUUCUCCGUCAACACCGGUUCGCUGUCCUCUGCUCAGAAACUGGGCAAGGGCCUUCUGACUUAAGGAGGUGCCUGCAAGGGACCGUCGGGAGGCUUCGUGCUCCACCCGGUCUUGGCCAGAUCUCUCUUGUGUCCCCAGCAAAGUUGUGCGUGCGGCCUUGGCGGUUUCAGGCUCUUAGGCAGCUUGUUUUCCUUAAAAGGGAGCGUUUUAUAAAUAGGAAGGUGAUUAUCCCUUAGGUGUCAGGACGACCCUUAGUUAACCGUACUUUGUGAGUGGCUUUGAAACUGUAAUGAGCGCAGUUUACUGAGUCAUUACUAGUCUCGACCCAUUCGUAGAGCUAGUCAGUAUUUGUUCCUGGACCUUCCUUCGUAAUACGCGCUAAAGUCAAGGCAUGGAGGUUGGAGAACAACACGUGCAAGUAUAGGAGGCCCUUAGGCUAAAUGCCUGCUACACACGGAGAUGCUUGUAUUUACAUAGAGAUGUGUAUUUCUGGACAUAAUACAGAAGAAACCGGUCAGCAACUGGGAGGCUGGGAAAACCUGUUAGCUAUUCAGAAACUUUUUUUUUUUUUUUUUUGAGCCAGAGUCUGUUCUGUCGCCCAGGGUGGAGUGCAGUGACGCGAUCUUGGCUCACUGAAUCCUCCACCUCCCGGGGUUCAAGCAGUUCUCUGCCUCAGCCUCCCGAGUAGCUGGGAUUACAGGCGCCUGCCACCACGCCCGGCUAAUUUUUGUAUUUCUAGUAGAGACGGGGUUUCACCAUCUGGCCAGGCUGGUCUUGAACUCCUGACCAGCCUGACCACUCGUGAUCCACCCGCCUAGGCCUCUCAAAGUGCUGGGAUUAUAGGCGUGAGUUACCGCGCCCGGCCAUAGAAACAAAUUUUAAAAUUUCAUCAGUGAGACUUCGUAUAGGUUUUUUUUUUUCUUCAAAUUUGAAAUGCAUUGCUUCGUCUGAAAUAAUCAUUAACUGUCAAGAAGACGAAUGUCAUGGCUUAUCCUUGAAAUAUUUUAGGUAUUAUUAUUUUUGAGGCUUCAGUAGCUUGAAUUCUGUUUUCACUGGUAAGUGCUGGGACUUCUAAAAAUUUUCAAACUAAAUAAUUGAUAAAAUUGGUAGUGCAGGAAAGUUCUGAAGCAUAAUACAAAAGAAUCCACCGAUACAUUUGAGAACUAUAAUAUUACCAAUACUAGGGUAUCUAUUGUUUACAUUUCCCUGCUUCCUAUUCAUAGGUACCCACCAUUUGGAAUUUUGUGCCCAUCAGUCUUUUGGGUUUUGUGGGGGAGGGGGGUGGUGUGGAUAGCUUUGUGGGGUUUUUUGUUGCUUUUUUGAGAUGGAUUCUCAUUCCUGUCGUGCAGGCUGGAGUGCAGUGGCGCGAUGUCAGCACACUGCAACCUCCAUCUCCCAGGUUCAAGCGAUUCUCCUUCCUCAGCCUCCCGAGUAGCUAGGAUUACAGGCACCCACCAUCAUGCCCAGUUAAUUAUUGUAUUUUUAGUGGAGAUGGGGUUUGGCCAGGCUGGUCUAGAACUCCUGACCUCAGGUGAUCCACCCGCCCCGACCCCACAAAGUGCUAGGAUUACAGGCGGGAGACACCGUGUCCGGCCCAUUUUUUAAGCUUUGUAAAGACAGGAUUAUGCAUGUAGUUGUCUGUAGUUCCUGUGAAUCAUAAUAUUAAACUGAAACUUUUUUUGUUUCAGUUAAUUUUUUUUGAAUUAUUCAAAACCAGUAGUUUAUAUUCCUAAUACUGAUUGUGUGAAACAUUUUCAGCAUUUCAGCACAUGAAAAUGAUUGUUUUUGCAAGCUCCAACCUUGUAUGUCUUCAUAAAUCAUUUCGUAUUGCUGCCUGGCUCAAUGAUUUAUUCUCCUGGGCUGCUGUAUGACAUGAUUUUUUGCCCCAGUCCAUGUUCUUUGCAGUUUUUAGUUAACUUGGGACUUAAUUUUACAGGAAUGUGUCCAGUAAAAAUGCCAAUAUAGGUAUCCCUGCUCUGAAACUGCUAGGUUUGCCGUUAUAAUGUUUUUAGGUGAAGGUCUUCACGUUAGUUUUUAUACAUCUAACCUGGCUCAUAGCUCAUCCUUGUCGAGCUGUGAGACAGAAAAGCAACGGCUGUGUACUCACUAUGACCAUUAUGUCUUAAAAUCAAAACUGCCACAGUGAAGGAUAUCAUGAAAUACGUGUUCAAGAAAACAUGAACAGAAGCAAAUGAUGAAAAUGAGCAUUUUACUUGAUGUUGAUAACAUCACAAUAAAUUAUGGAG
rnacentral:lncRNA from 1 species